rnacentral:rRNA from 1 species
UACGUAGGUGGCUAGCGUUGUCCGGAUUUACUGGGCGUAAAGAGCGCGCAGGCGGUCGUUCAAGUCGAGUGUGAAAGCCCCCGGCUCAACUGGGGAGGGUCACUCGAUACUGAUCGACUCGAAGGCAGGAGAGGGAAGCGGAAUUCCCGGUGUAGUGGUGAAAUGCGUAGAUAUCGGGAGGAACACCGGUGGCGAAGGCGGGUCUCUGGGCCGAUACUGACGCUGAGGAGCGAAAGCGUGGGGAGCGAACAGG